GGUCCUAAAGGAACAUCUGAUAAAAUUAGAACGAUAUAAAGAAGAUUAGCAUGGUUCCUGUGCAAAGAUGACACACAAAUCUCAAGAAAUAGUCCAAAAAUUU
rfam:Brassica rapa chromosome A10, whole genome shotgun sequence.